rnacentral:rRNA from 1 species
UACGAGGGGGGCGAGCGUUGUUCGGAAUUAUUGGGCGUAAAGGGUGCGUAGGCGGUUUGGUAAGUCUGAUGUGAAAUCUAUGGGCUCAACUCAUAGUCUGCAUCGGAAACUGCCGGGCUAGAGUUCGGAAGAGGCGAGUGGAAUUCCUGGUGUAGCGGUGGAAUGCGCAGAUAUCGGGAGGAACACCAAUGGCGAAGGCAGCUCGCUGGGACGGUACUGACGCUGAGACGCGAAAGCGUGGGGAGCAAACAGG